rnacentral:rRNA from 1 species
UACGAAGGGUGCAAGCGUUACUCGGAAUUUACUGGGCGUAAAGCGUGCGUAGGUGGUGAGUUAAGUCUGUCGUGAAAGCCCCGGGCUCAACCUGGAGUAGCGAUGGAUACUGGCUCGCUAGAGUGCGGUAGAGGAGAGUGGAAUUCCCGGUGUAGCAGUGAAAUGCGUAGAGAUCGGGAGGAACAUCAGUUGCGAAGCGGCUCUCUGGACCAGCACUGACACUGAGGCACGAAAGCGUGGGGAGCAAACAGG